GCCGGGGUUUUAAAACACUGAUUUACGGUAAACAAAUUGAUUACAGAUGAACAGUCUCAGUUCCAGAUGAGACUUGGUCUAUCCAAAAAGCAGGGAAAUGACAAAGGAAUAUUAAAGUGGAUCAACAUUGCACAGACUAAAGAGUAGGCAAGUAGUCAUCUGAAUCGUCUUCAGCUGCAGCACCAAGAAACCUUUCCAUUAUCAUUUGCUCAAUACUCCUAGCACCACUUUGGUCUAUAUCCAAAAAGUAGCGAAAUGACAAAGGACUAUUAAAGUCCAUCAACACUGUACAGACUAAAAAGUAGGCAAGUAGUCGUCGUCUGAAUCGUCUUCAGCUGCAGCACCAAGAAACCUUUCAAUUAUUUGCUCAAUACUCCUAGCAUCACUCUGCAUCCAUGACGCCGUGUCGGCACCCAACCCUUCUGGUGCUACUACAGGAGACUGGCACUGGUAUCCUCUAUGAAAGUAUUUCAAGGUGAACUUCCCUGAGGGAUCAUGUAUUUCAACAUCAAAUGCCUCUGAGAGUGGUCGACCAACAACUUGAACAUGGGAGACACUGCAACAUCAAAGCCGAGUCUAAGAAACUCACAAUCUGCUAAGUAAUUUACACAACUAUAAAGCAAAGCAGGUCUCUUGAAUCAGAAGACAGCAAAAUCCCUGUCUUGUUUUAUCACAUUUUACAUAAUUUUUUUUUAUCUCAGAAAAUAUAAAAAGAAAAUAACCCCUCCUUUUGAGUUGUUCCUGCACCAAUUUUGCAGCACAAAAGUGACAGGAAAUCAUAUAAAACUGAUCUAUUAUUAGUAACUUCACUUGCCAUCCUAAAAACUAAGAAACUAGUUGCGUCCCAUCUCAGCACCAUAGAGUGUCUCCUUAUUAAAAAGUAAAUUCAGCACAGCCUGAUCGCAUCCUCAAUGCAAUAUAUAAUACUACAAUCCAGAGCAUCGCUUGAAUCCAUUCAAUUUUAAAAUCCUUUUAGCAUAGAUGAAGCUUAGAGGGAGGUCUUUCAUUUAGUAGGUACAUGGGAAUGUGCAAAUAGGAGAGUCAAAACUGACGGUUAUAGAAAAGAAGUGCAGGGGCACUUUGCCAGGAACAUAC
rnacentral:lncRNA from 1 species